rnacentral:rRNA from 1 species
GACGAACGCUGGCGGCGUGCUUAACACAUGCAAGUCGAACGGUGAAGGGAUCAGCUUGCUGGUUCUGGAUGAGUGGCGAACGGGUGAGUAACACGUGAGUAACCUGCCCCCUUCUUCUGGAUAACCGCAUGAAAGUGUGGCUAGUACGGGAUAUUCUGCGCCUGCUGCAUGGUGGGUGUGGGAAAGAUAUUGUUUCGGUGGGGGAUGGGCUCGCGGCCUAUCAGCUUGUUGGUGGGGUGAUGGCCUACCAAGGCGGUGACGGGUAGCCGGCCUGAGAGGGUGGACGGUCACACUGGGACUGAGACACGGCCCAGACUCCUACGGGAGGCAGCAGUGGGGAAUAUUGCACAAUGGGCGCAAGCCUGAUGCAGCGACGCCGCGUGAGGGAUGGAGGCCUUCGGGUUGUGAACCUCUUUCGCCAGUGAAGCAGGCCUGUCCAUUGUGGGUGGGUUGACGGUAGCUGGAUAAGAAGCGCCGGCUAACUACGUG